UGAUGCCUUGGCAUUGAUAGGCGAUGAAGGACGUGGCAGGCUGCGAUAAGCUGUGGGGAAUUGUCAACAAAUUUUGAUCCGCAGAUUUCCGAAUGGGGAAACCCAACUAGUUUAGCUAGUUAUUACAUACUAAGUAUGUAAAGCAAACUUGGUGAACUGAAAUAUCUAAGUAGCCAAAGGAAAAGAAAUCAACCGAGAUUCUGUUAGUAGUGACGAGCGAAAGCGGAAAAGGCUAGUGAUUUAAGAAUAAGAAUUAGAAUACUCUGGAAAUAGUAACCAUAGAAGGUGAUAGUCCUGUAUAAGUAGAAAGUUUUUAAAUCCUUGAGUAGAGCGGGGCACGUGAAAUCCUGUUUGAAUAUGGGGGGACCAUCCUCCAAGCCUAAAUACUCCUUAACGACCGAUAGUGAACAAGUACCGUGAGGGAAAGGUGAAAAGAACCCCGGGAGGGGAGUGAAAUAGAAUCUGAAAUCAAGUGCUUACAAACAGUUGGAGCUCUAUAUCAAUUUAUUGAUAUUUAGAGUGACAGCGUGCCUUUUGCAUGAUGAGCCAA
rnacentral:rRNA from 1 species